rnacentral:rRNA from 1 species
GACGAACGCUGGCGGCGUGCUUAACACAUGCAAGUCGAACGGUAAGGCCUUGGUGUUGGUGGGUGCGCGAGGGGCGAACUGGUGAGUAACACGUGGUUAACCUGCCCUGGACGUUGGGAUUACGUCAGGAAACUGGGGCGAAUACCUGAUAGGAGGGCCUGCGGCAUGGUGUGGGUGGUAAAUUUUAGACGGUUGGGGAUGGAGUCGGGGCUUAUCAGCUUGUUGGUGGGGUAGUGGCUUACCAAGGCUUUUGCGGGUAGCCGGGCUGAGAGGGUGACCGUCCACAUUGGGACUGAGAUCACGCCCCGAAUCCUAAGGGAGGGAGGAGUGGGGAAUAUUGCACCAUGGGCGGAAGGCUUAUGCAGCCAAGCCGCGUGCGGGAUGAAGGCGUUAGGGUUGUCAUACGCCUUCGUCUGUGACGAAGCGUGAGUGACGGUACUGGGUGAAGAAGCACCGGCUAACUACGUG